UAGGGAAUCUUCGGCAAUGGACGAAAGUCUGACCGAGCAACGCCGCGUGAGUGAUGAAGGGUUUCGGCUCGUAAAACUCUGUUGCCAAGGAAGAACGCUUGCGGGAGUAACUGCCCGUGAGGUGACGGUACUUGAGAAGAAAGCCCCGGCUAACUACGUGCCAGCAGCCGCGGUAAUACGUAGGGGGCAAGCGUUGUCCGGAAUUAUUGGGCGUAAAGCGCGCGCAGGCGGUCGUUUAAGUCUGGAGUUUAAACCUAGGGCUCAACCUUGGGUCGCUCUGGAAACUGGGGGACUGGAGUGUAGGAGAGGAAAGUGGAAUUCCACGUGUAGCGGUGAAAUGCGUAGAGAUGUGGAGGAACACCAGUGGCGAAGGCGACUUUCUGGCCUAUAACUGACGCUGAGGCGCGAAAGCGUGGGGAGCAAACA
rnacentral:rRNA from 1 species